UAAAAAAUAGAAGAAAGAUCUUGAAUACAGAAGAAACACUUAGAUAGAUACCCAAGCUUAAAGUACUUAAUCUGAAAACAAAUUAGAACCACAGAUGAACACAAUAAAUACCACGGCCCAGUUUUAUGAGGUUAGAAUUGCAAGAUGCUUUCUAGUUUGCACAUGGAAAAUUUUGCUCGUAUUUAGUCAUUUAAUCUCUCCAAAUAGCUGGGUUAUUAAAUAGUUUUGUAUAUGUUGUAUAUGAACUGAUUAAUUGGAAUGCACUGAUUCUUGUACUUUUUGCAGAAUGGUUUGUUUAGGUUUGGUUUUAGUUCUGGACCAGUAACUCAUUGUACACAUAGUGCUUCUCAGUUUGCUCCACAAUGGCUACUGUGGAUUCUGAUGAUCUGGUUUGGCUAACUCGAUGAACAUACUGUGGCGUGACAGACAGGAAGCUCACAGGUGGAUUGCUGGAUAUUUAUUUUGUUCCAAAAAGUUCUCUUAAGAUCCUGGGUCAAAGGUUACUGCAAGUCCCAUCAAUGGAUUGGGAGAUCGUAAACAUUUAUGGCACACCAGCGGAAAGAACAAGACCUACAAAGGGGAGUCAGAGGGAGAGAGAAAUGUUUGAACAGGGCAAGACUUAACGUGAGUGAUCUGUUGGGCCUUCGUUGCAACGUCUUCGGCAAAGAUGUAACAAAGUAAAUGCCCUUGGGUGCCCGUAACAGUAAACGUGAAGCCAGGGGAAAUAACAGGGAAGCAAACGUGAUUGGAUUCAUCUGGAUGAAUGAAUUAGAACAUGAUAAAUUCGGUGCAAUGAGAAGCUAUUUUAAAUAAGUUACCUACCAGCAACUGUGGAAAGACAUCUGUUGAACAGAACAGCCUAUACACCAAUUAGGAAAAAGCAUGAGUGUAAUUGGGGGCAAAUUAUGGGCUCCAGCAGCUCAGUGUGCAGCAGUAUAUGGAGGCAAACGAAAUGCUCAAUUACUUUAGAAAAGAGACAUGUAUAAAUCAAAUUCAAAACAAAAUAAGAGGUUCUGUUCCUGCACUAGGUAUUUGUUAGAUCCAGAGUGCAUCUUUGCUGACAGAGUUUAGUAAAGAACAUGUUGUCAAAUGUGCCCUUUGAUGAGCUGCAGGUCUCCCACUGAGGUUAAAAAGAGCCAGACUUCUGUACCUGAGAACAGGAGGUGCGCCGUGCAGGUCAGAGUGCCGACUUGGCAAAAAAUGGAGAACAUCCUGAAGAGAAGUAUUUUAUUGGACUGAAGUGCAAGGGCAUUGGCUAUAUUUUAAAUGAAAAUGAAGAGUCUGAGGUGACCCAGCAUUAAAUGUUCAAUGAAUGAGUUCUGUUUUUCAGGCUGUCUAGUAAUGAGUUGAGUUUUGACCAUGGGAAAAUAAGAGGCUCGUGGGAAUUGAUGCCAUUCUGUUCACACAGUGAGUAAUAAACCAGAAUAUCAGCAGUCAGACAAAGAGAGCGAAGUAAGUAACAUUGUAUUUGUCUCUUCAAGACCAUUUCUUUCUAGAGGAUAGCGGGGUUAAAGAGAAUUGUGGUUCAUUUUUGUUUGCAGAAGCAAUGCUGUUCCCUUAUCUCAUUAUUUCUUCGGUUGUUUAUGGUUGAUUAAUGACUGUGGAUCACUACACCUGAUUAAUUCCAGAAUUCUGAGAAUGUUCAUGGUUGAGCAAUUAAGCCUUCCAAGUAGAACUACAGAUGGGAACAGGGAUGUGAUGAAUGAUAGGUAAAAGAACAAACUAUGCAUAAAUGGUGGCAGCAGAUCUGAGGACCAUGUGGAGGCAGAAGAAAACAGCAUUAUGGGGAAAAGCAGGAAGCACGUGGUGAUAAAUGGGACUGGAAGUGAAUAUGGAAAAGCAAUUAGGGAUGUGGAGAGGAAACGGUUAGAUGAUGGAGAGGAAGAACAAAGCAGAACACAUUAAUGGAGGGGAGGUGUUCAAAGAAAUGUGAAGUCUUCAUGAGUGAGGAGGGAAGGGAGGACCUGGAGAUGGGGGGAGAGUGGAACAGAACACUGAGAAGACACAAUGAGUCUCUGUCAUGAGGGAAGGAUGAGGAGCACAGAGGACGGUACAAUGGAUGGGUAUGGGACAUGCCACCUGCAGGAUGGAGUGGAAGGCUACAAAUUUGGGAGCUUACGAGGGGAACAAAUGUCUGCAUUUGGUCUACAGAACCUGCAGUGUCCAGCACUUAGCUGUGUUCCCUGUUUGGUACGUUAUUUGUUUCAGUGAGUUGUCUUUGUACCUGGAACCUGGCACGUUUCUGUUUCUCUGAAUUUCUCACAGCAGUUCCUGGCCUAGAAGCUCCUUGUUCCACUUCAAGGCAGUUCUUUGGAAAGGACUUAAAAUUGUAACUAUUUGCAAAGUACAGCCAGAAGCUCAAAGACAGGAAAAAGUGUCCCAUGCAGAAGGCUUCUUGUUUUGCUAGAGGGUAUCUGGGAAGCUGACCAGCAGAUACACUUCGGGAUGCUCAGAUACCUCUGCGUUGUUGCAGAGGUCUUGCUGCAGGUCGGGGCUUUUAAGUACAUCAAAGGCUAUAAAGAAGUUGAGCAAGUCAGGUCGUCCUUCUUUGUUUUCUUCUGAGCACAUCCAGAAUUUUAUGUAUCCGAUGAUGUGAGACAGAUGCCGGGAGUGCCUUCCACCGAGUUUCUUGAUUGCAGGGCUCCGUAGGCCACGUGCACAGCUGCAGUGCAGUCUGUCCGUCCGCCCUUUCCCUGCUCCCGGAGUGCAAUGCCGGACGCACGCCUGGAUGAUGGCAGCUCAGGCCGAUGGAUCUAUGUCCAGUACCUGGAGAGAAGCUACAGUGUCACACAUCCGUUAGCUGCAAGCCCCAAAGGCAGCGGAUAAGGACGGAGGCCGAAAGAAUAAAUCAUUCGCAUGAGAUGAGACUUGACGGAUAUUUAAACUUCAGUUUUAACUUGUGACCAGUAUACGAGAUCCACACUUCAGAAAGUGGAAAGACACGAGGUGGGUUCCCAGCAUAUUGGAAGUUUUCAAAGAAUGAAACGGAUUGGCUUGGCUGACCUGAAGAACCUGAAUUAAUUCACUGGUUAGAGCAUUUGAACACUGCUGAUGCGGAACAGCACAGCCAGCAACGUAAAGGUGAUGCAGAUGCAUCAAGCAUCAGACCGAGACUGGAACUCUGAUGAAGCUGAGGAACCAUUUAGAAAUGUCUGUACUCGAAGCAGUAUUGAAUAUGUGCUACUGAUUUGCAUCCAAUAGAACUCAGACUUCAUGGUGUGUAGUCCCUUGUAUCCCUUCUUAAUCCACUGGGUGCAGAGCACAUGUUAAUGAUUACAUUAUUGUAAGAUGAUAUCACAUAAACCCCACAAAAUCUAAAUAAAUGAAGUGCCUUAUGGAAGAAAGUAUCCUCAUUGUUCCUGUUUUGCCCCUCUGAAGGAAUGGGCUGUGAGUUUUUUGGCUGGUCUGUGAGAAAUCUAGCACAGCCCAAGUGGGGCAACUGGUAUUUUCAAAGAAAAGUGUCUUUCUGACAGAUGUGUUCACGCUGUUUUUGGUUUAGUGUUUUGUUGUAGAUUACUGAUCAUGAUGCUACUGGUAUAAUUUUGCAGGAGUCAACCUAUUUCACCUUCUUUAGUAAGCUGCAACAAGAUAAAUUUUUUCCUACACAUUGUGAAAUCCAAAACAUUGUGAAAGUUUUGAGAGACCCAAUAGAUUUGCAACAAUAUUUUAUAUUAUGACUCAUAAUGAGAUAGUAUUGAAAUAGUAUUGGAGUCUACAUUUUCUCUAUGUAAUAGAAGAAAACCAAUUGAAGUGUAUUUCCCUUCAGCUUUGCAAUAUUACCAGCCUAAAGUUUUGAUAAUAACAAUGAGUGUGACAUUGUUAUUCAACACGCCAAAAGGAUGAUUUGCCUUUUGUCAAAAAUGGAAUAUUCUUACUCGCAUGACUGUAAAGCAAGCCAGCAUUCACAUACCUCACUACUAAUUGCCCCUACAUUGCAAAUAUGUCACUUUAAAUUGUUUAAUGUAUUAUAUUCUAAUAGUUUAAUCUCAAGGGACAGUUAACUAUUUAAUUAAUAUUUUUUUUGCCAGUGUCAUAAAAUGUUCUGCAGAAAUUGUCUGAAAAAUAUAUGGGAAAGGAGGAACAACAAAAAGGAAUUGCACUGAUGUAAAUGUACAGAGCCAAGAAACUGUAAUACUGCUAAAAGUCAAAUGAAUGGACAAAGAAAUGCUAUUUACAACAUAGCUGGCCAUCACAAUUACUCCAUUGAUUUAAAAAAAAUAAUUAGCCAAUUUCUUUCAAUAUUAGACCACAUUUAAAUUUUGCCAUUAUUUGAACUGUCUCUCUCCAAAUAUUUUAGCUUUCAGAAACAAUUACUAAACAAUGACUUUAUUGCUGGGUUUUCAUUUUGAAUCAAAGACCAGCCCAAAGUAGAGCACUGUAUUUGUCAUUCAGAAAGCGUUACAAAAACUUAGGUCAUUUUAAUCUUUGGAUAGGCAUGAACACUAAACCUGGAACAAUAAAGGGAAGCAUGUUCAGUUCAGUGUCUUUGGUGGUGGAAAAGUCUUCACCGCAAAUGCUUAGGCCUUCAAGUGUGAUACAGAGUAUAUUUUUAGUAGCCCUUCCAAGCAGGACUAUGCUUAUGACAUGUACCUUGAGGUAAAACUACACUUGAUCCAGAUAAAACAAUCAAGAUUGUAACAAAACUGUUACAUCCAUAAGAAUCAAUGGGUUUUCAGUAUCCCCCCAAAUGCCAAAGAGUUUACAAUGUAAUGAGGAAGUUGGAAUCGUGGUAACAGAGUGACGUUGUAGGUAAACAAGACAGUCAUUAUGUGCACUGUAACGUUCCAUAUGCGGCUGGACACUGGAAUUUCUUAGCAAGAUAAUGAAUAUUGCCAGAGUUAUCCAGUUACACUUUUGAAACUCACUCAGUAUCUCUAAUCUAGAAAGACCUGGGCAGAAGGGUCCUGGGGUUAACUCUUUGAUAUCGGUCUAUAUCUCAGUUUAAUCUAUUGUCCAGAUGAUUGCCCAGUUUAGGAUUGAAGAAUAUUGUCUGUGUGGCAAAUCACACCUCAUUUAGAAUAGAGUCCUGAAAACUUCCAUCAAGCAACCAGACUUCUAGAUUCUACUGACUAAGGGUAAUAUGCUUACAGGUCAACUGUCCUCAAAAUAAGGUGUCUUCUAAAUACUGAUCUUGAUAAUAGAUCAACGACAAUUUAUAGAUAAAUAGUUGAUUCUUCAAAACAGCUGUUAGUAAAGCUUUUCCACUAAAAAAUCCAAAUAAAGAAGAUGUUACUUACAGAUGACCAGCUGCUUAGCUGGUGGGCACAAGCCCGGUACUACUGAAAUCAGCAUUGCAUCCAUGCCUUGCCAUGCUACAGGAGUAGGUGCUUAAUUCUGUUCUAUAUUCCCCAGAUCCUCCUUCCAGUCACUAUUUUCUGCUUGUGAAAUCAGUUUUGUUCCUUCACCAUGGAACUGUUAUAUCAAUAGAGGUUGAUUUAAGUUAAGAAAUAGGAAACGUUUACUUAGACAUACCAUCUUCUUGCAAGUGACCUCUGUCUUAGAAGAUACAUGUGUGAAAUACUUUAAAAAUAAUUUCUGCUUUCCAGUUCAAUAAGCAGGUUUAAGUAAGUCUUUUCUAAAAAGUGACUUCAUUGAAAGAGAUGCAAGAUGGAAAGCCACAAUGCUCAAAAAUGCAUUUCCUCACUUUGUAAAACAAAGAUUCUCUUAACUGCAUCUGCAAACCAAAACUAGCAUCCAAAAGUUCAGUCAUGUUCUCUCCCAUUUGCAUGUCUCCACAUGUAAUAAGGAUUCGGCAGGCCAAACAGCGCCAUUAUUAUCUUCAAGUUUUGACUUUGCUGGUACCUGAGUGCAGGUAUAAAUGGGAGAUGUUGUAACUCAUCUGGAAAUACAUUAUCUUUCUGGUAGGUUACGUGAGCUAAAAUAAACUGUAGCUCAUUCUUACACAGCUGCAUAAACAGACUAAGAUUUAAUUGAAACCUGUCACUAUGGUGAGCAAGCCUCCUAUCCAUGGGCAUUGUAUCAUUUCAGUGAGAAGAUGCCAUUUUUUAAAAUGUCACUUUUCCACAAAGAGCAACACUUCAAUGCAAAAACUGCUGAGUUUUAAAGACUGAUUUUAUUGUUGUGAUCCAGAACUACAUGCAUGUGACAGUCCCCUCCAGAGAUUUAGCUAUAAUCUUUAGAUCACUUACCUAAGGUGUUGUAAUAUAAUCUGACACAAUGUUAAAAUAAGACUUUAGAUGUCAACAUCAUCGUUCCUGAAUGUCUAAUUGUGUUCAUUGUAUAUAAACCCCCAAAAUAUUAAAUAAAAAAAAAGCAUCAGUCAGCUUCAUGAGCAUCUCUGUGAUACUGAUAACUGAUUCAUAUAUUCAUCAAUAAAGGAGGAUUUUAUUGCAGUCAAUGGGAUGCCCUGUGCUAGGAAAAAUAAAGUUAGGUACACUGUUCAUAUUGAAUUUUUCUCCCCUCUAAAGCCAUCUCAUACACUUUUAAUACCAGAGCUUUUGUGAGAGAACUAUUUGGGUUCAGAUAACUUGAGAACUAAGUUGUGCAUGGAAAAUACAAAAUAUUACUUCAAAUGGCAGACAACAACUUUAAUGUGAA